rnacentral:rRNA from 1 species
UGGUCAUCAUUGCGAUGGAGAUACACCUGUUCCCAUGUCGAACACAGAAGUUAAGUCCAUCUACGGCGGAAGUACUUGGGGGUUGCCCCUGGGAGAUAGGCGAGUGGCCAAGUUUUGGGAGUUUAGCUCAGCUGGGAGAGCA